rnacentral:tRNA from 1 species
CCGCCGACGAGUGGCUGGAGCGCCUCGACGUCGGCGACGUCGGCAGGCAGCGCCCGGACCGGCUGGUCCAGAGCCAGCGCCAGCGGG